UGCCACGGCUCCACCUGAGCCUCUUUGGGGUCAUUUCCUCCUUCUGCCCCUGGGAGACCUCAUCAUCUCGCCAAACGAGCGGGCCCUUGUGACGUUGAGCCGAGCCAGGAGGCGUCAGAGCCUGGGUGGGGGUGGGGCGCGACCACUCCACGGGCCGCUGGCGGGAUGGGUCUGUGCAAGUCCAAGCUGCCCCACAAGGGCAGGGCCUUGAGAUCCAGGAGAAGGGGCAUCAUCACAGACCUGAUCAGCAACACCAUGCUGUCCUGUCGUGCCAGGAGAGCUGGGCCUUCCUCACCGACGGCUUCCCUUGGAAGCUGAAGCAGGCCAAGGAGUUGGAGCGCAUUGCGUUCACGAGACAGACUCAGUCCCUGCCGGUAGACAGACACUGACCAAUACGUGACUUGCCGAAUGAAGCUGAGACGUUUCUGGCAGCAGUGAAGGCAGCAAAGAGCAGAAGACAGAAUGACGUCCCGGAGGGACACAAGCGGGCUGUUUGAGUUGGGUGGCCCUGGUGGCCUCCUCAAAGCGAGGACGUGGGACAACUGAGCAGCGAGAAGAGGAGCCAGCCCGCGUUGGCAAGUCACACUCGGUCUUCGGGUUACUUCUGCCGGCAGCGCUGACUUCCUGGAAAGGCCCACCCAGGCACCUGAACAGCCGUGGCUGGAGAGGCCGGAAAUGGCCGAGCAGGACAAGAGAAACUGUGGCGGGUUGUCAGGCCCCGGGCUUUUCUGGAACUUGCCAGAUGCAGUUGAAAUGCCUUCAGAGAAGCGCAGGCGGGAAUCAAACCGACGUCACCACCGAGGGCUGGGGCCGCUAUCCUCGUGGGCAGGUGGGGCCCUGCCUUCUGUUAGCGCCUGCACGGGAGCAGUCCUGUCGGGCUCCUGGCAGUGACUUCCAGGGCAAUGGAAUGGCUUCCCUCUCCUGGUCUGGGAGCUCUGAGGGCAAAAGCCGAGCUAAUGAAUUUCUCUGUCCUCAGCAGCCCCGGGCCAGCGGUUUGGACCCUAUGGCAUUAAAAAAAAAAUUUUUUUUUAAGCU